GGGGGGUGCAAGCGUUAUUCGGAAUCACUGGGCGUAAAGAGCGCGUAGGCGGUUUCUUAAGUCAGAUGUGAAAGCCCGGGGCUUAACCCCGGAAGUGCAUUUGAAACGGAGGGACUUGAGUAUGGGAGAGGGAAGUGGAAUUCCUGGUGUAGCGGUGAAAUGCGUAGAUAUCAGGAGGAACACCGGUGGCGAUGGCGACUUCCUGGACCAAUACUGACGCUGAGGCGCGAAGGCGUGGGGAGCAAACAGGAUUAGAUACCCUGGUAGUCCACGCAGUAAACGUUGAACACUAGGUGUAGCGGGUAUUGACCCCCCUGCUGUGCCGCAGCUAACGCAUUAAGUGUUCCGCCUGGGGGAGUACGGCCGCAAGGCUA
rnacentral:rRNA from 1 species